UGGGGAAUAUUGGACAAUGGGCGCAAGCCUGAUCCAGCAAUGCCGCGUGAGUGAUGAAGGCCUUCGGGUUGUAAAGCUCUUUCGCACGCGACGAUGAUGACGGUAGCGUGAGAAGAAGCCCCGGCUAACUUCGUGCCAGCAGCCGCGGUAAUACGAAGGGGGCUAGCGUUGUUCGGAAUUACUGGGCGUAAAGGGCGCGUAGGCGGUACUUCAAGUCAGGCGUGAAAGCCCCGGGCUCAACCUGGGAACCGCGCUUGAGACUGGAGAACUAGAGUUCGGGAGAGGAUGGUGGAAUUCCCAGUGUAGAGGUGAAAUUCGUAGAUAUUCGGAAGAACACCAGUGGCGAAGGCGACUCACUGGACACAUAUUGACGCUGAGGUGCGAAAGCGUGGGGAGCAAA
rnacentral:rRNA from 1 species